UGGGGAAUAUUGCACAAUGGGGGAAACCCUGAUGCAGCGACGCCGCGUGAGUGAAGAAGUAUUUCGGUAUGUAAAGCUCUAUCAGCAGGGAAGAAGAAGGACGGUACCUGAGUAAGAAGCCCCGGCUAACUACGUGCCAGCAGCCGCGGUAAUACGUAGGGGACAAGCGUUAUCCGGAUUUACUGGGUGUAAAGGGAGCGUAGACGGCGAAGAAAGUCUGAAGUGAAAGCCCGCGGCUCAACCGCGGAAUGGCUUUGGAAACUUUUUUGCUGGAGUACCGGAGAGGUAAGCGGAAUUCCUAGUGUAGCGGUGAAAUGCGUAGAUAUUAGGAGGAACACCAGUGGCGAAGGCGGCUUACUGGACGGUAACUGACGUUGAGGCUCGAAAGCGUGGGGAGCAAACAGG
rnacentral:rRNA from 1 species